GCCUUCAUGGUGUAGUGGUCAGCACGCUCGACGUGUAACCAAGAUAUCCGUGGUUCGAUUCCCGGUGAAGGCC
rnacentral:tRNA from 1 species